GCCACGGCCACAACGCGGAACAUGCGCACGCUGGACGCGGCGCUGCACCACGGCGUGCUGAUGAUGGC
rnacentral:miRNA from 1 species